rnacentral:misc_RNA from 1 species
GAUGAAGAACGUAGCGAAAUGCGAUACUUGGGGUGAAUUGCAGAAUCCCGUGAACCAUCGAGUCUUUGAACGCAAGUUGCGCCCGAAGCCAUUAGGCCGAGGGCACGCCUGCCUGGGUGUCACACGUCGUUGCCCCCCCAUCUACUCCUUCGGGAUUGCGGGGGGCGGAUGAUGGCCUCCCGUGCGCCUCGUCGCGCGGUUGGCAUAAAUGCCAAGUCCUCGGCGACGCACGCCACGACAAUCGGUGGUUGCGAAACCUCGGUUGCCCGUCGUGUGCGGUCGUCGCGCAUCGAGGGCUCGAAAAAAUUGCCGGGCUCCGGCUCGGCUUUCAACGCGACCCCAGGUCAGGCGGGGUUACCCGCUGAAUUUAAGCAUAUCAAUAAGCGGAGGA